rnacentral:rRNA from 1 species
UACGUAGGGUGCGAGCGUUAAUCGGAAUUACUGGGCGUAAAGCGUGCGCAGGCGGUUUUGUAAGCCGGAUGUGAAAUCCCCGGGCUUAACCUGGGAAUGGCAUUCGGGACUGCAAGGCUGGAGUGCGGCAGAGGAGACUGGAAUUCCUGGUGUAGCAGUGAAAUGCGUAGAUAUCAGGAAGAACACCAAUGGCGAAAGCAGCGUUCUGGGACGGUACUGACGCUGAGACGCGAAAGCGUGGGGAGCGAACAGG